GGGGUGGGUUCUCCGUGGACAAUGCCACCUUAAAUCGUUUUUUUAGUCUUCAUCAUUUACUCCCCUUUAUUUUAGUAGGCGCCAGUCUUCUUCAUCUGGCCGCAUUGCAUCGAUAUGGAUCCAAUAAUCCAUUGGGUGUACAUUCAGAGAUGGAUAAAAUAGCUUCUUACCCUUAUUUUUAUGUAAAGGAUCUAGUAGGUUGGGUAGCUUUUGCUAUCUUUUUUUCCAUUUGGAUUUUUUAUGCUCCUAAUGUUUUGGGGCAUCCCGACAAUUAUAUACCUGCUAAUCCGAUGUCCACCCCGCCUCAUAUUGUGCCAGAAUGGUAUUUCCUACCGAUCCAUGCCAUUCUUCGUAGUAUACCUGACAAAUCGGGAGGUGUAGCCGCAAUAGCACCAGUUUUUAUAUGUCUGUUGGCUUUACCCUUUUUUAAAAGUAUGUAUGUACGUAGUUCAAGUUUUCGCCCGAUUCACCAAGGAAUAUUUUGGUUGCUUUUGGCGGAUUGCUUACUACUAGGUUGGAUCGGAUGUCAACCUGUGGAGGCACCCUUUGUUACUAUUGGACAAAUUUCUCCUUUAGUUUUCUUCUUGUUCUUUGCCAUAACGCCCAUUCUGGGACGAGUUGGAAGAGGAAUUCCUAAUUCUUACACGGAUGAGACUGAUCACACCUGAUUAGUGAGAAAUUCUUACACCAAUCAUUUACGAGUGAGUAUUACACCAAGAAUUUACAAGCGGAUCGAGGAAUGAAGGGAGAGGAAUUAGAAUAGAAAGAAAGAGACGGAUUUCGAAUUAGAGUAAGGGCACGCUAAGACAUUCCUUUUCGUGCUUUCGAUCUGCUUACUUUGAAUAAAGAGAAAAAAAAAGAAUAGAUAGGCGGAAAGGCUUUACACAAGACCACAGAGCGAGAGAGAGAGCCUUCGCUUACCUGCUUAACCGUACCCUCCUAUCGUACCUAUAUAGCCUUUCCUUCAGUUAUAUCCACUUUCCGUUCUGCUUCCAACUACCGAUGGGAGAAGGCUUGGACGUAUAGCAAGAUUAAAUAAGAGGUAUUGCAUACGGGAAUGAUAUAUGAAAGGAAAGGUUGGAAACAGAGCUGGAGAUGAGCGCUAGCCANACCUUAAAUCGUUUUUUUAGUCUUCAUCAUUUACUCCCCUUUAUUUUAGUAGGCGCCAGUCUUCUUCAUCUGGCCGCAUUGCAUCGAUAUGGAUCCAAUAAUCCAUUGGGUGUACAUUCAGAGAUGGAUAAAAUAGCUUCUUACCCUUAUUUUUAUGUAAAGGAUCUAGUAGGUUGGGUAGCUUUUGCUAUCUUUUUUUCCAUUUG
rnacentral:lncRNA from 1 species